UCCCGAUUCGUAUAGUGGUAGUACGGCUGACUCUGGAUCAGUAGGCGGUGGUUCAAUUCCAUCAUCGGGAGCCU
rnacentral:tRNA from 1 species